rnacentral:lncRNA from 1 species
GCUGGCCGGGGCGUGGACAGGGCGUGGCCUGAUGGCGGACGCACGUCCGGGGCGGGAGCCCUGCAGGCGGGGGCGGGGCCGGGGCGGGGCCGGGCGCUGUCCGGUGCUGAAGCUCAGCCCGGCGUCGCCGCAAGAGCGCCAGAGGCGCGGCGGGAGGAAGCUGGCGGCGCGCGCCUCGCUGGGCCCGGACUCGGCCGCCUCCCGCCGCCUCCCGCGCGGCCAUGGACUGAGAGCCGCCGGCCAGGCGGGGAUGGGGCCGCCGCUCCCGCUGCUGCUGCUGCUGCUGCUGCUGCCGCCACGCGUCCUGCCUGCCGCCCCUCGUCCGUCCCCCACGGCCGGCAGCUCCCGGGGCGCCUGGGCUGCCUACUCGAGGAGGGCCUCUGCGGAGCGUCCGAGGCCUGUGUGAACGGUGAGUGUGGGGUCCUGGCUGCUGCGCCCUGGUCUGCCCUCUCCUGCCCGCCGUAGCGCCCAGCCUGGUGAGCCCGGCCUCUGGCCUGGAGUUGGGGCCGCCCAGGCUCGCUGCUGAGAGGAGGCGGGUGGAGCCCCGGAGCCAUGGGCUGCGGCCUCAUUGGGUCGGGGGGAAGAGGGUGCCCGGGUGCUGGGCACUCAUCGCACCAACCCUUGCUUUCUGAUUUUGUUUUGUUCUGUCCUUCGGCAAGUUUUUCAUCCUUUUUUUAAAAAAUCUUUUGAGAGAGAGUCUUGCUCUGUCUCCCAGGCUGGAGUGCAGUGGUGCUAUGUCUCACUGCAACCUUCGCCUCCGGGGUUCAAGCGAUUCUCCUGCCUCAGCCUCCUGAGUAGCUGAGACUACAGGUCUGCGCCGCUCCCCCUGGCUAAUUUUUUUGUGUUUUUAGAAGAGACAGGGUUUCACCAUGUUGGCCUCAGGUGAUCCGCCCACCUCGGCCCUCCAAAGUGCUGGGAUUACAGGUGUGAGCCACCACGCCCGGCCAGGUUUUUCGUCCUUUAAGCCACCUAUUUUCCUCUCUUAUCAGGCGGAUAAGAAAACACGUGCAAAUGCUGCAUUUUCAGGCUGGGCUGAAAGCCCAUGAGGAGGGCAGUUACUAUGAAAUACAGGGAGCAGCGGUCCCGCGGAGUCCCUUCCGUCUGGUGGGUUCAGACAGAGGGCAUCUCCAGAGCAGAGGCCGCCCCGUCCUGUCUGAUGCUGAUGAACUGGGCGCUGUGCGCUCUGAAGGCGCAGGGGAGGCGUAAACUCCAGUAUCCUCAGAAAAGCGCUGGGCAGAGCCGCCUUUCUCCAAGUCAGGGGCUGUGUGUGGGCCCGGGACGCGCUGAGCGUGGCCUUCUCUUUCCCCAGCUCCCAGCCCGUCUGUCCUCAGACUGUGGGCAGGAGUGGAUUUAAUCCUAGCCAGGAUGGAGGGGCCUGCCCAGAGGCCCCUUGCACCCACUAAUCUCUGCACAGACGUGGGUGCCGGCGGGGUGCUGGCCUGGGGUGCCACCCUCCUGAGGUAUUUCAGGACAGGCCUCAUCUGCACUGCUGCAUCCUGGGGGAGCCGAGGUGGAUGCCUCUGAGGGUCCGAGAAGCGAAACCGAGGAGCUCAUGCGCCCUGGGGUGAGACCAGUCCUGGGUUCCGGACCGAGCCUCUUGUGUCUGUGCCUAGGCAGCUUCUGGGGUCGGGAGGGGAAGCCACGCUGGAGGCGCCAAGAGGAGAGCAGGUCCUCGGUCACCGCAGCUUCUGCUGUUGCCUCUUGUUUGGGGAGAUUCCUGUGCCGAGUGUGACAAGUGGGAACCGGCAGCUCGUGGGGUGCAGCGUGGGUGGCGGGUGAGGUUCUGGCCCAGCCCAAGACCCCCGGGGCUCCCUGGCAUCUACUCCGUGCAGCUUUAAUUUGGAGGCAGCCUUAAGAAAAAUAGGGAUAUUGAAAAGCCUACGUCGUCUGCCUGGACUCAACAGCGUUUGAUGAUAAUGGAAGCAGGUGUGUGUGUUUAAUUUAAUUGGAGCUGUGAGUAGCUCCAGCAGAAUAAAAGCCGAGGCUGUUUCCCCAGCUCCUUGACAAAGGCCAGCCUGGGUGUCUGGCUGUGAUCGUUCUCAGACGUUUUUCUCCCCAACCUUGACUUGCCUCCGGGACAUGGAGUCAUCUCAACAUCAUAUCCAGAUAAUGACUGUGGAUUCUUUGGAAGAGAAAAGCAAUUUAAAUGUAAAUACCCAUAUUCAGGCCUUGAUUUAUAGAAACAGAUGAUAUUUGAUUUUUUUUUUUAUGAUGCAGUGGAGGUCUAGGAAACAGCGAAGCCAGAGGCGCCCAAUCUUAGAAAACUGCUUUGCGAGGCUGACGGGAGCGAUAGGAGAAGUGGUUCCUGCGCUGCUGGCUCAGAUUUAUGGUUGCCAUGGUGACUGGUUUAGCCCGAGGCUGGUGGGCCAGGGGUGCAGCAGCCCAGGGUGCGGUGGGGGGUGGCUCCAAGUCCAGAACAUUCUGUCACCAGCCGCAGGGUCUCUUUCUCUGGCUCCCUCUCUCUCUUUCCCCCUUUCUUUCCUUAAGGUACAUGCAGGAAUAUAUAAUCUUAUCAAGCUUGGAUAUGUUUUUUAAAAGCCCAACAGACCUUGUUAAUAGAAAAAAAGUCAAAAGAUAAACAUACUGCCUCACACCCAUUAGGGUGGCUAGUUUUUAAAAAACCCUGAAAAUCGGUGUUGGUGAGAAUGUGGAGAAAUCGAACACUUGUGCACUGCUGAUGGGAAUGUAAAAUGGCGUUGUUGCUGAGGGAAACACUAUGGUGGUUUCCUAAAAAAUUAAAAAUAGAAUUUGUAAUUUGCCUCAGCAACCCCACUUCUGGGUACGUACCCCAUAACACGGGAAGCAGAGACUUGAAGAGCUGUUUGCACACCCACGUUCAUAGCAGUUAAUGCGCAACAGCCAGAGGCGAAAGCAGCCCAGUGUCCGCUGACGGCAGAUGGACAAGUGGAACGUCCAUCCACGUGAUGGAAUAGUACGCAGCCCCGAAGAGGAAGGGAGCACUGACAUGCUGCAACAUGCGUGGACCUUGAGGCUGUUAUGCGGAGUGAAAUAAGCCAGUCACAAAAGGACAAAUAAUGAUUCCACGCAUGUGACGUACUAAAGACAGUCAAGUUCAUAGAGACAGAAGGUAGAGUGAGGGGACCAGGGGCUGGGGGACGGUUGGGGUGUCAGUGUGUAAUUGGUGGAGUUUCAGUUUGGGACGAUGGAAAAGUUCUGGGAAUAGAUGGUGGUGAUGACUGAUCAAAAGUGUGAACGUAGUUAACACCAACGAACUGUACACUUAAAAAUGGCUAAGAUGGUACAUUUUAAUGUGACAUCUAUUUUACCACAAUAUGCAAUUGAAACUAUGAAAUUGCAGCCUCCGCAUGUGCGUGUUUAAUGUAAUCGAGUGCUUCAGCUGUGAGGGUUUUAGGCCAGCUCCCUCAGGAGGAAGUGGUGAUUAGAAACUUUAAAGCGACCCUGGGGGUCAAUUCCUUGGUAAUUCAUAACUCUGGAGUAACUUUGAUUACUAUAGAAAAGAUUGUAAGUGUUCUGGAAGUGAAAACUUAAGAUAAAGCAGUCACGUAAUCCUGGAACAGCUUGUAGAAAAGAGAGUUUAGAUGCUGUUACAUGGGCAUCCUAAAUAUGAGGAAAACAGGUUUCAAAUAAUUUUUAAAGUGGAUUUGAUUUCAUGGUUGAUAACUUUAAAUGGGACACAUCCAAAAACAGGUGGUAUGUCCUAAAAAUUCUAAAGCUAUAAUAACUACUCCACGAUAGAAAAAUGGAAAACAAAUCUAUGAAGAUUAAAAUAGAUCACACUUAUGUCAGGAAGCGAGCUGGUUGCUUUCACGCCCUGCUGGUGGGAGCAUGGCCUGGCAUGAUCGUGAUGGACGCUGACUGGCCAGCGCGUUCACACCACGUAAGUGAGGUAGCCCGUGACUCAGCAAUCCGAUUCGUGAGAAUAUGCCCUAAGAAAAUAAUCCAUUAUGCAAAAUACUAAAGAAAACUUGAAGCACAAAGUUGUUCUUUGCAGUGGUGUUGAUAUUAAUUUUAAAACAGUAGACAAAUCAUUAAUAUUAAACAAAUGAGAAUGCUUCUUUAAAGCCAUGUUAUGGUCACAUGAUUCAAAUGUUAAGCAGACAUUAAAAGGGAAGUGUUCAAAAAGUUGUUAAUAACAUCAGAAAGUGCAGGUGGUAGAAAGUAAAUGAAAGGCCGGGCGUGGUGGCUCAAGCCUGUAAUCCUAGCACUUUGGGAGGCCGAGACGGGCGGAUCACGAGGUCAGGAGAUCAAGACCAUCCUGGCUAAAACGGUGAAACCCGUCUCUACUAAAAAAUACAAAAACUAGCCAGGUGAGGGCGCCUGUAGUCCCAGCUACUCGGGAGGCUGAGGCAGGAGAAUGGCCUGAACCCGGGAGGCGGAGCUUGCAGUGAGCUGAGAUCCGGCCACUGCGCUCCAGCCUGGGGGACAGAGCAAGACUCCGUCUCAAAAAAAAAAAAAAAAAAAAGAAAGUAAAUGAAGAACUCAGGAUCCAAAACUGAACGUCUAAUACGAUGACAGCUAUGUGAAAAUAUGGAUAGCAGAAAAAGCUAAAAGAAAUAUACGAAACUGUGAAUAGUGGCUCUCUCUGGGUAGCGACUUUUAUUUUCUUCAUAUUUCUCUGGUUUUCCAAUUUUUCAUGCCAGCGUGUUCCUGCUAAAAGAAGAGAGGUGGGAAGGAGGCACAUGAACGAACCACCACUCCCUUUUAGCUCAGAUCCCUGGAAACAGCCACCCAGAAAGGAGGAGAGGCCUGUGCAGGGGGGGGGCGCAGAGGGGUGGCUGAGC